ensembl:lncRNA
UGAAAAUAUUUUAUUUGUUGAUAAUGCAACAGCUACAGCAGAAGGUACAAGUUACAGCUCAGAUUACAGCUAGAGGUCGACUGAUUCACCAGAUCAAACUAGUGUUCAGUGUCAGAUUGAACUACAGUGUUGGAGAUUAUAGUUUUCUCUGUAAGCAGGAGAGCCUUUAAAUGAAACAGUGCUUCACACAACUUGAACAGGGCUGGUUAAAAGAAUGCUCAAAAUAGACUCAGCGAUAUGAAAAGAAUGGACACUUAGCUUUCAUACACUAUUAAUCAGAAAAGUAAAUAAGAUUAAUAAGUGCUAAAAAUACUGCUUGCAGUUCAUUCUACAUGUUUAACAACACUACAGAUGACAUGGUUACAUUUGCCUCUAUAGAUUUAAAUAUAAUCUAUCUUUGCACAGUUCUCACUUUCUCUGGAACUCUCAGUUACAUCACCAUUUUUUCUUUGCAACAUGUUGAUCACUGCGGCAUCAUGCGACUUUUACAUACAUGUAAAUGCAUUGUAAGCUUUUAAUAGUAUUAAAUGACAGACACAAAGCAAAACAUGCACUGAUGACCUGAUGUCUUCAUCAACGACAUCAACAUAACAGAAAGAAAUGCAACACAUGUAUUCCAGACAGAUACUAGUGAAAUCUAUCCGCACCAACAAUGCAUCCUCCACUACUGGUUUGUUGAUGAGGGUCUGAGGUUUCACACACAGCUUCUUGACCCCAUUCAGGUACUUUUAGUGCACUGCUUGUAUUCACAACUGUCUUUGUGCAUACCCUAAUAGGCUCAAAUUAGGUAGCGUAAGCACUACUAAGUCCACAGAUAAAGUCCUAUCAUGACAGAUUCAGUGCUCACUACCUGACUAAGCCUUUCUGGUGUGAUUUCUCUCACUGUGUUUGCAGUGUAAUCUAGCAUUGUGCUUUGUUGGACAGUUUUGCUACAUUGUUCGUUAAAAAUGCUUGCAAGACUAGCUACUAUGGCUGGCGUGUUAGCAGUAAGCUCAGCGGCUAUAGUAUCAACCCAGUACUUUAAAUUCAUGAAAACAAGCAAAUUAAUUUACCAAUUUCUAGUUCGACUAAUAAAUAAAGCUAUAGUUAUGGAACACAUUUUAAUAGAGUUGGCUAAAUGUAAAUAUAUAUUUGUUUCAGUCAUCAGUCGACCUCUGUGGAUACGUUUAAAUGUAGUUGGUUGGUGGCUUUUUUAGGGGGUGUUACAGCAGAGUGACUAUUGAUUAAUACAACUUUAAAAGCUAAAUCAGCACGUGAAAGGCAGCUCAGCUAAAGGUCUUCAGAGGUCUAUUUAAUUCCAGUUAACACAGGCCUGACCUUAUAACCCAGUUUACCAGCUUUCCUAAAUCAUGGAUGUUAUUCCAUGUAUUUUGGCUGGUUUCAAAGGUUGUGGAGCUCUGAAGACCUCUGGCCUGAGUUACAUCUAUCACAGACACAGACAACUGCUACAUCAGUAAACCCCUGCUGGUAUUCAGUCCGAUUAAUAAGAAUAAAGCUGAAAGCUGAUUGGUAGGUGUUGCAGUUUAUCAUCAGCUGCUACUGGUUCCCUUCUCCAUCAGUUUGAGUCCAGCUCAACGUCGGUGGAAAGGAAACAGGUUUGCUGGUAAACAUACAAACACCAUCUACAGUCUGACAUUCCAGUGCUGAUGCUCAUCUUCCAUUCUCUGUUAAAUUUCCACAUUACUGAUUCAAACAGUUAUUCUCUGGGAUGAUCAUGAUGAUUCAAUAUAAUAAUAAGAGAAAUAUGUUUAUAUAAGAAUUAGGCAGACCUCUCUCAGAAAGAAUUUCACCAUGAAGAUGGAUGACAUAACAGUUGAGGCUGCUACAUGUAGACUUCAUUUUCUACAUCGAUUAAUCUUGUGCACACAGUGAGCAGUGGCUACAGAGGCCUUCAGGCUACGACAUGCUCAGCGAUGUUUGCUGAAGGUGUUUAGAAAUGAGAAAGACUGGUGUGUGAAAAUUCUCUCUUUGUGACCAAAUGGAACUUUACAAAUAAGCUUUCUUCAACACAACCACAGUUUUUAAAAACAAACCAUUUCUCACAGUAAGUAGUGCAUUUAACCACAAUUUUAUUUACCAAAAAAACUCAAGUAUGUGUGGAUUAAACACUUAGAGCCAAGAAAUGUAGACAGCCCUUUCUUUAGGGAAAGUUUUUGUUGCAGUGUUUGCCUAACCUUUUCACCCGUGAUGCUGUGAAAGAAGACACUCUUAACAAAAUAUCCCUUUGCCAGUAUUCCAAAGGUUGUGCGUUUCUAUUAGGCAGUGUCUAACAGCAAUUCAGAUUUUUCUUAGGCAUAAAUUCUGUCUGAAAUCGUUUCAUGUUCCUGCACUUCAGGAACAGAAGUUUUUACAGAGCAGUUUUCCUCUGUGACAUUUUGACUAGUAACGCCGACAUUAGAGCUUUACCACUAGCACAUCAUCUAAAGUAGGGUUGCAACGGCUCAUACACCCUUUAAAUCAACCGAACCCAUAGAGUUCAGCACAGGGUGCUUAGGUAGUACAGAAAUGGGUGUUUGGCCUUCAUAGAGCGUCUCACAGGUUAAACGGAGCACCUAAGAUGACCUUCAUCCAAUAUCAAUACUGGACUUCAGUAAUGCUAUUGUGACUUUUAGUGGGAACAUACUACAGAGAGUAUUCCAGGAGAUUAAUGUCUGUAGCUUUGGAAUAUGUGUUUCAUCCACAUGUCAUUGCUUUUUAGCUCUCUG